CGGGAACGCCGCCCGCAGCGCCCGGAGGCCGCGGCCCGCAGCUGCGGGAAACGGGGCUCGGGACAAGACAGCUGUCAAGAGGAGGGUGCCAGACUCAGAAUUCUCAGUGAUGCCCAGUGACAGGAUGAGGAGCAAUGGCCACAAACGAAACCAAAGCACAAGGAGUUUCACCUAUCAAGAGGAAGAACUUCCUUACACAGAGGGUGGCAGAGCACUGGAACAGGCUGCCCAGGAAGGUUAUUUUCCUCUUUUUUUUUUUUCCUUUCCAGUUGUAUGGAACACCAAAUUGGCAGCAAUGAGGAAAGUGUUUCUGGGUGGUAUUAAAGAAAAAAACAAAACCAAACAAUGCCCCAAAACCAACAACAACAACCAAACAAAAAACAAACAACAAAAAAACAAACAAAAAAAGUAGGAAAAGGAUGGAACUCUGGUAGCAAAAAGGAUCCAGAAACAAAAUAUUUAAUAUUUACAGUAAAUGAGUGGUGUAGGAGAUUACAAGGAGGAGCAGCACAGCUCUUAACUCAGUGGUGGCUGUGGAGAUACACAAGAGCUAAACUGUAACUUUUAUUUGCGUGUAACUAAUCAGAGCAUGGAGGACAGAACUGUAAAUAACAGAACUCUCGUAUGAAAACCUAAUUAGUUCAUAAAUUA